AUACGUAGGGGGCGAGCGUUGUCCGGAAUGAUUGGGCGUAAAGGGCGCGUAGGCGGCGCGGUAAGUCUGGAGUGAAAGUCCUGCUUUCAAGGUGGGAAUUGCUUUGGAUACUGCCGCGCUUGAGUGCAGGAGAGGUUAUCGGAAUUCCCGGUGUAGCGGUGAAAUGCGUAGAGAUUGGGAAGAACACCAGUGGCGAAGGCGGCUUACUGGGCUGUAACUGACGCUGAGGCGCGAAAGCGUGGGGAGCGAACAGGAUUAGAUACCCUGGUAGUCCACGCUGUAAACGAUGAAUGCUAGGUGUAGGGGGUAUCGACCCCUCCUGUGCCGGAGUAAACGCAAUAAGCAUUCCGCCUGGGGAGUACGGCCGCAAGGUUGAAACUCAAAGGAAUUGACGGGG
rnacentral:rRNA from 1 species